rnacentral:rRNA from 1 species
UAUUAUGAGAGUUUGAUCCUGGCUCAGGACGAACGCUGGCGGCGUGCCUAAUACAUGCAAGUCGAACGCUUCUUUCCUCCCGAGUGCUUGCACUCAAUUGGAAAGAGGAGUGGCGGACGGGUGAGUAACACGUGGGUAACCUACCCAUCAGAGGGGGAUAACACUUGGAAACAGGUGCUAAUACCGCAUAACAGUUUAUGCCGCAUGGCAUAAGAGUGAAAGGCGCUUUCGGGUGUCG